UGAUGGCUCAAUUGGCAGAGCAUAAGACUUUUAAUAUCAGGAUCGUGGGUUCAAGCACCACAUUGGCUAAA